AUCUAUAUAGUAUAUAAGUAUAUUUGACUUCCAAUCAUAAGGACUACUAUUAGUAGUGUAGAUA
rnacentral:tRNA from 1 species